rnacentral:rRNA from 1 species
GGAGUCUUACCAAACCAAGGCAAACUCCGAAUACCUGGAAGCGUGAGCACGGGAGACAGAGCACCGGGUGCUAACGUCCGGACUCAAAAGGGAAACAACCCAGACCGCCGGCUAAGGUCCCAAAUAACAGCUAAGUGGAAAACGAAGUGGAAAGGCCGUGACAACCAGGAAGUUGGCUUAGAAGCAGCCAUCCUUCAAAGAAAGCGUAAUAGCUCACUGGUCGAGUCCUUCUGCGCGGAAGAUGUAACGGGGCUAAGCUGUUAACCGAAGCCGCGGAUGCGCUGGUUAUCCAGUGCGUGGUAGGGGAGCGUUCUGUAAGUCUGCGAAGGCGGUUCGAGAGGACUGCUGGAGAUAUCAGAAGUGCGAAUGCUGACAUGAGUAACGUUAAAGCAGGUGAAAAGCCUGCUCGCCGUAAGCCCAAGGAUUCCUGCUCUACGUUCAUCGGAGCAGGGUGAGUCGGCUCCUAAGGUCAGGCCGAAAGGCGUAGCCGAUGGGAAUCAGGUUAAUAUUCCUGAACCUGCGUCAGAUGCGAUGGGGGGACGGAGCAUGGAAGAUCAUCCGGGUGUUGGAAGUCCCGGUUGUUGAGCGUAGGAGGUCUGCAGGCAAAUCCGCAGACGCAUCUCCAAGGCAAAGACACGUGCCGCCACGGCGGCGAAGUGAUCGGAAGUGCUUCCAAGAAAAGCCUCUAAGCACCAGUCUGAUGCGGACCGUACCGUAAACCGACACUGGUGGGCGAGCUGAAUAUGCUCAGGCGCUUGAGAGAACUCGGGAGAAGGAACUCGGCAAAUUGACACCGUAACUUCGGAAGAAGGUGUGCCGUAGUACCGUGAGAGGAGAGACACCUUGAGCGGGAAACGGUCUCAGAGAAUAGGUGGCUGCGACUGUUUAUUAAAAACACAGCACUCUGCAAAGUCGAAAGACGACGUAUAGGGUGUGAUGCCUGCCCGGUGCUGGAAGAUUAAUUGAUGGGGUGAGAGCCCUUGAUCGAAGUCCCAGUAAACGGCGGCCGUAACUAUAACGGUCCUAAGGUAGCGAAAUUCCUUGUC